rnacentral:rRNA from 1 species
UACGAAGGGUGCAAACGUUGCUCGGAAUCAUUGGGCGUAAAGCGCACGUAGGCGGCUUUGCAAGUCUGACGUGAAAUCCCUCAGCUCAACUGAGGAAGUGCAUCGGAAACUGCAAGGCUUGAGUACUGAAGAGGAUCGCGGAAUUCCCGGUGUAGAGGUGAAAUUCGUAGAUAUCGGGAGGAACACCAGUGGCGAAGGCGGCGAUCUGGGCAGAUACUGACGCUGAGGCACGAAAGCGUGGGGAGCAAACAGGG